rnacentral:rRNA from 1 species
GACGAACGCUGGCGGCGUGCCUAAUACAUGCCAGUUGAGCGCUGAAGGUUGGUACUUGUACCAACUGGAUGAGCAGCGAACGGGUGAGUAACGCGUGGGGAAUCUGCCUUUGAGCGGGGGACAACAUUUGGAAACGAAUGCUAAUACCGCAUAAAAACUUUAAACACAAGUUUUAAGUUUGAAAGAUGCAAUUGCAUCACUCAAAGAUGAUCCCGCGUUGUAUUAGCUAGUUGGUGAGGUAAAGGCUCACCAAGGCGAUGAUACAUAGCCGACCUGAGAGGGUGAUCGGCCACAUUGGGAGUGAGACACGGCCCAAACUCCUACGGGAGGCAGCAGUAGGGAAUCUUCGGCAAUGGACGAGAGUCUGACCGAGCAACGCCGCGUGAGUGAAGAAGGUUGUCGGAUCGUAAAACUCUGUUGGUAGAGAAGAACGUUGGUGAGAGUGGAAAGCUCAUCAAGUGACGGUAACUACCCAGAAAGGGACGGCUAACUACGUG